rnacentral:rRNA from 1 species
UACGGAGGAUUCGAGCGUUAUCCGGAUUUAUUGGGUUUAAAGGGUGCGUAGGCGGGUUAUCAAGUCAGCGGUAAAAGCCCGGGGCUCAACACCGGCCCGCCGUUGAAACUGGCUGGCUUGAGUUGGGGAAAGGCAGGCGGAAUGCGUGGUGUAGCGGUGAAAUGCAUAGAUAUCACGCAGAACCCCGAUUGCGAAGGCAGCAUACCGGCGCCCGACUGACGCUGAGGCACGAAAGUGCGGGUAUCGAACAGG